rnacentral:rRNA from 1 species
GACGGAGGAUGCAAGCGUUAUUCGGAAUUACUGGGCGUAAAGCGCACGUAGGCGGCUUUGUAAGUAAGAGGUGAAAGCCCGGAGCUCAACUCCGGAACUGCCUUUUAGACUGCAUCGCUUGAAUCCAGGAGAGGUGAGUGGAAUUCCGAGUGUAGAGGUGAAAUUCGAAGAUAUUCGGAAGAACACCAGUGGCGAAGGCGGCUCACUGGACUGGUAUUGACGCUGAGGUGCGAAAGCGUGGGGAGCAAACAGG